AUACGGAGGAUCCGAGCGUUAUCCGGAUUUAUGGGUUUAAAGGGUGCGUAGCGGGAUAAUAAGUCAGUGGUGAAAGUUUGCAGCUUAACUGUAAAAUUGCCGUUGAAACUGUUAUUCUUGAGUGUAAAUGAGGUAGGCGGAAUGUGUUGUGUAGCGGUGAAAUGCUUAGAUAUAACACAGAACACCAAUUGCGAAGGCAGCUUACUGGGAUACAACUGACGCUGAGGCACGAAAGCGUGGGGAUC
rnacentral:rRNA from 1 species